GACGAACGCUGGCGGCGUGCUUAACACAUGCAAGUCGAACGGAGUGGCGAACGGGUGAGUAACACGUGGGUGAUAUGCCUUGCACUUCGGGAUAAGCUUGGGAAACUGGGUCCAAUACCGGCUAGUCCAAGAUGUUCUCGCGGCCUAUCAGCUUGUUGGUGGGGUAAUGGCAUACCAAGGCGUCGACGGGUAGCCGGCCUGUGAGGGUGUACGGCGAAAUUGGGACUGAGAGACGGACCAGAGUCCUACGGGGGGCAGCGGGGGGGAAUAUUGCACAAUGGGCGGAAGCCUGAUGCAGCGCCGCCGCGUGGGUGAUGAAGGCCUUCGGGUUGUAAACUCCUUUCGACAGGGACGCGGUACCUGGAUAAGAAGCACCGGCUAACUACGUGCCAGCCGCCGCGGUAAUUC
rnacentral:rRNA from 1 species